GCUGGGAUUACAGGAGCCCACCACCAUGCCCAGCUAAUUUUUGUAUUUUUAGUAGAGACAGGGUUUUGCCACGUUGGCCAAGCUGGUCUCCAACUCCUGACCUCAGGUGAUCCACUCGCUUCAGCCUCCCAAAGUGCUGGGAUUAUAGGCGUGAGCCACUGUGCCCGGUCUUUUUCUUUAAUGUAGUAUUCACUGGGUUUUUUAAAUUAGUGUCAUAAGUCAGUUAUCCAAGUAGUUUUUCUCCUUUAUUUCAACAUUGACUUCUGACUUUUCCGAAUAUAGGAAUUCCUUCUGUCCUGUUAAGCAGUCCUUCGCUUUCUGCUUUUGGAUACUUAAGUGACCACCUCACUUUUUUGUGAUGCAGCUUGUUCAAUUUUUGGAUAGUUCUCGUGGACACAUGGAAAUGCUGAGUAGAACUAUGAUACAAAUCAGCUCACCAUAAAGUACAAUCUCCAGUGGCCAGAGAGAACUAAAAGGAAACUAAAAACCCGCAUGACACAGUUAACUUUGGGGCUUAAGAUGAGAUAAGGAGUGAUGGCGCUUGCCAGUAAUCCCAGCUAUUCCAGAGGUCGAGCUGGAAGGAUCCCUUGAGCCGAGUGCGAGGCUGCAUUGAACUAUUACCACACCACUGCACUCCAGCCUGGGCAACAGAGUGAGACCUCAUCUCUGGACAAGUGUUAUUUGUGACAGCACAAUGUUUGAUACAACCCAAAUGUUGAAUGAAAGUGGACCAGCUAAAUAAACCAUGAACAUUUACUCAAUGGAAUGUUAGGCAGCUAUUAAAAAAUAAGGUGCACUGAAUUCGUUAGGAAAGGAUUUAGGUUAUGUUAUCGGAUGAAAAAAAUGUAAAAAACUGAAAGGGGUGGAGGAAAUAAGACCAUAUACUUGACUUGGCUAGAAUUUGCAUUUAAAAAAACACUGAAAGGACAUUUGAAGAGUGUAAUAAAAGUAGUUAAUAUCUAUGGAGCGUGAAUAGGGAAGGAAUGAAGUGAAUAAGGAUAGGAGUGGGAGAGAGGAAUCCUGCCUUUGGGAUACAUUGUUUAUUCUAACACAGAUUUAAAAAUCUGAAUACAUAACAAAAUUUACCAUCUUAACUACUUUUACCUGUAUGCUUCAGUAGCAUUAAGUACAUUCACAUUAUGCAACCAUCACCACCAUUCAUCUCAAGAACUUCAUCUUUCCAAACUGAAACCCUGUACCCACGCUUUAGAUUUUAAAUUGUGUUAACCUGUGACCUAUAAACACGAUUCAAAGGCCAGGUGCGGUGGCUCACGCCUGUAAUCCCAGCACUUUAGGAGACCGAGGUGGGCAGAUCAUGAGGUCAGGAGUUCGAGACUAUCUUGGCCAAUAUGGUGAAACCCCAUCUCUACUAAAAAUACAAAAAUUAGCUGGGCGUGGUGGCAUGCGCUGGUAAUCUCAGCUACUCAGGAGGCUGAGGCAGGAGAAUCACAUGAAUCCUGGGGGCAGAGGUUGCAGUAAGCCAAGAUUGUGCCACUGCACUCCAGCCUGGGCAACCAAAUGAGACUCUGUAAAAAAAAGGAAAAAGAAAAAAGAUUCAAUGGAUGAGUUAAACUAUAUUAGAGACAACAGAUUUUAAAGGUAGUUCUGAGGAAUUUACUCAAGGAAGCGCAGCAAACAAGGGAGGGUAGGAGACUACAAAAAUAAAGUAAAAAGGUCCAAUACAGGCUUUAAAAGGUCCAAUACAGGCUUUAAUAGAAGUUGCAGAAGGAGAGAACAGAAUGGAGAGAACUAUAAAAUGGCUGAUGUUUGCAGGGUGUGGUGGGUCACGCCUGUAAUUCCAGCACUUUGGGAGGCCGAGGUGGGCAGAUCACGAGGUCAGGAGUUCGAGACUAUCUUAGCCAAUAUGGUGAAACCCCAUCUCUACUAAAAAUACAAAAAUUAGCUGGGCGUGGUGGCGCCUGCCUGUAGUCCCAACCACUCGGGAGGCUGAGGCAGAAGAAUCGCUUGACCCCAGGAGGCAGAGGCUGCAGUGAGCUGAGAUCGCGCCACUGCACUCCAGCUUGGGCGACAGAGUGAGACUCUGUCUCAAAAAAAAUAAAAUAAAAAUAAAAUAAAAUGGCUGAUAUUUUUCCGGACUUCAAGAAAGGUAAGAAACCCCAAAUUCAGGAAGCAAAAAAUGAGUUACUAACAGGAUAAGUAAGUGAAAUCUCCACUGAGACACGUGAUGGUGAAGAGCAAAACAGAAUACCAUAGAAAAAGAAUUUGUUUUCUUUUUUUUUUUUUGAGACGGAGUCUCGCUCUGUCGCCCAGGCUGGAGUGCAGUGGCGCGAUCUUGGCUCACUGCAAGCUCCGCCUCCCGGGUUCACGCCAUUCUUCUUCUGCCUCAGCCUCCCGAGUAGCUGGGACUACAGGUGCCCGCCACAACGCCCGGCUAAUUUUUUGUAUUUUUAGUAGAGACGGUUUCACUGUGUUAGCCAGGAUGGUCUCGAUCUCCUGACCUCAUGAUCCACCUGCCUUGGCCUCCCAAAGUGCUGGGAUUACAGGCGUGAGCCACCGCACCCGACCAGAAUUUGUUUUCUUUAGAGAUGGGGUCUUGCUCUCUUGCUGGCAGUGCAGUGGUAUGAUCAUAGCUCACCGUAGCCUCGAAUUUUAGAAGCUCAAGGAAUCCUCCCACCUCAGCCUUCCAAGUAGCUGGGACUACAGGCAUGUGCCACCACGCCCAGCUAAUUUUAAAAUUUUUAUAGAAACAUGGGGUCUCACUGUGUUGCCCAGGCUGGUCUUGAACUCCUGGCUCUGGCCUCAAACCAUCCUCCCGUUGUGGCCUCCUAAAACCCUGGGAUUAGAGGCAUAAUCCACCACUCCAGGCCAGAAAAAGAUCUUAAUGGCAACCAGAGAAAAGGAAACUACUUAAGCUGUCACAUUUUUUAAAAAAAUGGCAAAAACCUCAAUUACUUUUGCACCAACCUAAUAUAAAAGUUGAGGAGAUGUCAAUGUGGAAUUUUCUGACUGAAGGCAA
rnacentral:lncRNA from 1 species